rnacentral:rRNA from 1 species
CCUACGGGGAGCUGCAGUGGGGGAUAUUGCACAAUGGGGGAAACCCUGAUGCAGCGACGCCGCGUGGGUGAAGAAGCGCCUCGGCGCGUAAAGCCCUGUCAGCAGGGAAGAAAAUGACGGUACCUGAAGAAGAAGUCCCGGCUAACUACGUGCCAGCCGCCGCGGUAAUACGUAGGGGGCAAGCGUUAUCCGGAUUUACUGGGUGUAAAGGGGGCGCAGACGGCGAUGCAAGCCAGGAGUGAAAGCCCGGGGCCCAACCCCGGGACUGCUCUUGGAACUGCGUGGCUAGAGUGCAGGAGGGGCAGGCGGAAGUCCUGGUGUAGCGGUGAAAUGCGUAGAUAUCAGGAGGAACACCGGUGGCGAAGGCGGCCUGCUGGACUGCAACUGACGUUGAGGCCCGAAAGCGUGGGGAGCAAACAGGAUUAGAUACCCCGGUAGUC